AAGGUGGUGAGGGGCGAUCCGGCCAUGAAGGCGGAGGCGACCAAGGUCGCCGCCGAGCACCACCACUACUUGACGCCGACCAUCAGCUUCAGCGACAGCGCCCUCAAGUUUACCCAUGUCCUCUACAACCUCUCCCCGGCCGAUAUCUACUCUCAUCUCCUCUUCAUCACUCAAAUCAUCACAUUUUAUUCUCAUUGAAAGAAUCACGAAUUCCUUGUAGAACUCUAUGAGCAAGCCAUAAAACAUGAACAUGGAUCAUUCAUAACAUCGACCGGAGCCUUGGCUACCUUGUCCGGCGCAAAGACUGGUCGUUCGCCGAGGGACAAGCGCAAGGAUGAAACCACUACCAAUGAGCUUUGGUGGGGAAAGUAAGUCCACACAACUAAUUCAUGAUCCUUCCAUUGAUGGUUCCUUCUCAAAAUGUAUGUGCACUAUUCACGCAGAGGCUCACCGAACAUAGAGAUGGAUGAGCACACCUUCCUAGUGAACAGGGAGAGGGUUGUCGAUUACCUCAACUCUUUGGAUAAGGUAUUUGUGAAUGACCAAUUCCUCAACUAGGAUCCCGAGCAUCGAAUCAAAAUUCAAAUUGUCUCUGCAAGGGCCUAUCAUUCCCUAUUCAUGCACAAUAUGUAAGUGAAAAAUACUACUAAUAAGAAUGCUAAAGAUGCUCUUCAAUUCUACAGUUCGACAGUUAUCCAGAUAAGUCAUCUUUGCGUUUGUUCUGUUGAUCUCUAGUAGUGAAUCAUAGUUGUGUUAGUAGCAGGCUGGAUCAUACAUAUGCAUAUAUUAGUGUUAGUGAGAUAACUAGCUCCUCUUUCUCUCCUUAAUGCCAAGGGAAAACAUGUAAACUAGAAGAAGAAAAACUCUCUUUUGCAUGAAAUAAUUGGAAGGAUCGCAGGUGCAUCCGUCCUACGCCUAAAGAACUGGAGGAUUUCAGUACUCCGGACUUCACAAUUUAUACAAUGCUGUCCAGUUUCCAUGUAAUCGAUACACACACUACAUGACUACCUCCACCAGCAUUGAUCUUAAUCUUGAUAGGAAAGAAAUGGUCAUCCUUGGCACACAGUAUGCCGGGGAGAUGAAGAAGGGUUUGUUCGGUGUAAUGCACUAUCUAAUGCCUAAAAGAAACAUUCUCUCCCUGCACUCUAGCAACAAUAUGGGCAAAGAUGGUGAUGUUGCCCUCUUCUUUAGACUAUCAGGUAAGUGUUGGUCACAUUACUUCCACAUUCUUCCAUUCUUUGGAUUCAGCAAAAUCACAACUUGUUGCUCAUUUUCUUCUCAAAAUUCAAACUUUAUUUUCCUAAUUGUUGUGAAUUUGGAUCCCAGGACUAUUAUCCAGGUAUGUGGCUAACAGAUUUGACAAGGGCAAGGUAUGAAGUGAGGGAGAAGACAUGCACGAGGAAGAAGAAGAAGAGGCGAAGAGGGUUGAAGGGAAUGGAGAGUAUGGACUCGGAUUC